AACCCUGGCUAUGGCGAAGCACGUUUCUAGGCCGGGUUUUGCGUCUAUUCGCACUUUUUUCUGCCCUGUUGCGAGUGAGAAAAGGCUCGUCACUUCUCACAGACCACGCUGCGAGCUCGCCGCAGCCUAUAGUUUAACUAAAACGGACUCUCCGUGUGGCGUGGGACGUAAUGCCAGGAGCAGAAGGAAUCGGUGACACCGAUCCGGAGAGACCUAGCCCAGCCUCGAAAAGGCGUCACCGUCAUUACUUCUGCGUCAUGGGCUGCCAUGAACAAGAAGCCUGAAUCCCAACAUCAGAUUCUACCGUUUUCCUUCAAGGCCUCACGAAGUGGAGCGUCGGGCGCGCUGCAUAGCUGCAGUUCGUCGCGCUGAGAAGAAGGACAAAAGCGAGAUUAUUGGUUUGCAAGCGGCACACGUCAAGCCAGAAGAAGCUCAGCGGUCACCAUAAUGACAUGUCUUCUUGAACUACAUGCCUCACCAUGAAAUGUUUGCGAAUUUACCAGAUAGAGGGCUGUCAGCACUAUCAGGAAAGCAGCAGUCUACAGUUUCGUGUCAUACCGAGCGGGAAUGCUAAAAUUUAACAUACAAGCUUACUUGAUUUUAAGGGCGUUUUACAACAAUCGGAGAAGUAACAAGUUGAGUACCAACUUGUUUCUUUUCUCGUCAUGUAGCAAGCUCCUACUUGGUAAUGCACAAACCCUGUCAUCUGCUAUUUGCAAAUCAGAUUGACGGGCAUUACCACCAAGUAUCACAUGCUUCCUCAUAGCGUUCAUUUGUUACAUGAAACUGCAAAGAAUUUUAAAGCCUUCAAAACUCCUCAGUGCAAUUUUGAGGAGAUAAUGCUUCAUGUUCACUGAAACUCUGGCAGUCACUCUUCACUUUAUUAUUCUAUUUUUUAUUUAAAGUACGCUCAGGGCCAUAUGCCAUUAAAGAGGGGAACCGGUACAAAGCAGUAGAGUAACGCAAACGAACAAGAGCAGCGAGUUCUGGUAAUACAAUAAUUCUCCUGAUUACACAGUGUCAGCUAAUGUUUUGUAAAAGAAGUUUGCUAUCGGUGAUGGCUACGAUACUUGAGGGAAGGUGGUUCCAUUCCUCAGAUGUAUGGGGGAUGAAAGAUUGAAAGAAAGACUUCGUGUAGCAAGAAUCAAUCCCUGUGUUACUGCGAUGAUCGAUGCAGUUUGAAAUGUACUUCAGGACGUGGUGCGGUAUUAAGUCGUCAUGAAGUGUGGUAUGAUGGAAAAUUUUAUGAAAUAGUGAAACAUGGCAACUGCGACGACUACCUAGGGGAAUAAGUGCUGGUUAGUUUCAUUAAGGUUAUACUCACAGUACUGUUAUAAUUAGAAAGAAUGAAAUGAGCAGAGUUAUUUUGUACUAGUUCAAGUGAAGUAAUAAGACUAAUGCAACUGAGAUGCCAUAUUGCAGAUGCAUAUUCAAGUUUGGGCGUAUUAGCGUUUUGUGAAGGGGUAGAUUUAAUGUAGACAGCGCUUUGGAAAAGUUGCACUGUAAGUACCCAAGCACGUGAAUAGCAUUGUUAAUGACAUACUCCAUAUUGAUCCAAUUUAAUUUAUUUGUAAUGUGUACACCAAUAUAUUUAUAGGACAUGGCGAAAUCUAAGGGAACAUUGUUAAGAUGGUAAAUGAUAGGAUUAGAAUUAGAUGUGGAUAUUGCAUUUUUCAUUUGUUUACUACAAAAGGCUCAUGUAGUUUCCAUGAAAUCAGUAACUAGGCUAGCCUGGCACCACAAGAGAUGGCUAGAACAAGCAACUUCACAUAACUGGCCUACUCCACACUUCUCAAACAUGACAAACCAAUAAAAUCAAUUUAUCUUUCUCUUCAAACAGGAGAUGACAUACCUGAGUUCAGUGUGUUCACAAAAAGGUUUUGGAAUAUACUCGAAGUUUGGCUUAACAUUCAGCCAAUCAGCAGUGGACGAGCAAGGGAAGCCUCAGCAUGGGAACUUAUCUUUGUUACAGCCCUCACAAAUGUGUGUGAUUGUUGAAACGUUGGAUACAGGCUGAAGCUUCCCUUGCUCACCUCUGUUACUCACCUGAAGCUUUCAUCUACUUGUAACGUUUUUGCAUUGUUUGAACAAGCAAACCGAGAUGUUUUUUCAACAAGAAACUGUAAAUUGCAUUUUACAAGGAUCUGUGGAAUUAGUUGCGCAUGCUUAUAUGUUUAUUUAGUGUCCUUGUUUAUACACAAUAUUUGCAGAGGUCUUUGUAAGCACUGUCAUCCCCAUAACGUUCCUCGCCCUCCUAUGAGUACUCCACUUGUGUGAAAGCCUUUACUGCUGCACCUGAACACUAAAUGUGCAGUAGAAAUAUCAAGAACACACAAUAUGCGAUCUAAAAUUGAGCAUAACAUUUAUACCCAUCUGCACUUCGUGCCUAUCGCCAAUGUUUAUGAAAACAAUGCGACAUUGAAGCUCGAGCUUACCUUACUGACAGUACAUCUUUGCCGAGCACUUAUGUUUCUUUUUUUAAUCUAGCUGAAAUGUCUGAAUCACGUCAAACAGCACUGUACGCAACACGAGUACAAGUGUAGCCGAGCACAAUAUCGUUGUACUUGCGUUAGCGGCACGCCAAACACCAUGAGAAAACUUCGCUCGAUUUCAGUUUUUAAUUCCAUUAAAUAGAUUACUAUCUAUGUUUCUGUAUGUUGUAAACUCAGUGAUUGACAGCAUUAGCUCCACCUGACCUGUACAAAAAUUGUGGGCAUGUACUGCUUUUCACGAUUGAGAACAAACAAUGUAAGCUUUCUUGUCUGACGUGUUCUUUUGCCACUUGAGGCCUCCCAGUCACCUAGCGAUUUAAUGGUAUCGGUAGUCAUUUUAGAGUAUCGUACACAUGAACACGGCUCCGAAAGCGGUAAAAAAACGCCCAAAACCAGGGAGCGAGCAGCGCAACGAACCCCACCAGCCCUACUGAAGCGGGCAAAUUGCUCACUACGUAAUGAUGAUGAUAUUAGGUUUGAUUUUGCCUGCACCAUUUCUCAGUCGCAUACUUCAGUUCACAAUGCCACCGCUAUUCUUAUUUUCAUUGCACCAUGGAAAGUACAGUUUUCCUUCUCUAAGUUUAUAUAGGUGUUCUGCUUUCAUGUUUUGUAGUUCCUUUAUUACUUUAUUAGGUCCUUUGUUGGGAGAUAUUACCUACUAGUUCCCUUACCUCCCACUUCAAUUGCUGUUUCUGAAAUGAGCCUAGUCUGCGUUUCAUUGAUUACCUCUACGUCAUAUUCAUCUUUAUUAUAAAGCUGCAUAUUUGUUUGCAAGCACCAGCCUUGACUGGUCCGCUUUUACCCUUACUGCAUCUAGGUUGGCCUGUUUCUUCUUGCCUAAAUUUGCUUUCUCUCAUCAUAUCAAGGAAAAUUUUAGACCUCACUAACCUAUGAUCACUGCUGAUUGAUGAAAAUUAUCUAAUUAGGCAGAAUGAAAUAACCUGAGUAUCUCCAUGCAAGAGCAAACAACAUUAAGUUGGUUCUGUCCAGCUACAUGGCAUUUGCAUGUUUUUAUUGCUUGGCUCAAGUUACGUGGAACACCCUGUAUAGUGAGGAUUCCCAACAUGGGUGCCAUGCUAGCAGACUACGGCUUCUCGCGGCAUUUCUGGUGCUCAUGAAUGUCUUUUGAAACUUCACAACUACAAACAGUCUAUGUAAAGGUACCCUAGAUAUUGGGGCAAGUACUUUUCUAUGGUGAAGGGCAUGUUUACAGUAAUUGAGAGCGGCUAACAGCAGAGCAGUACUGCUAUCUUAGUCAAGUUUUUCACAAAUGAAAUAGUUUUGGAUAGCACAAAGACAUACCUGGGAUGCCUCACAGUCAUUCACUGUACUUACCUUUAAGCGCCUAAUGAAUGAAUGUCCGCCAUGGCGGCUCAGAACCUAAGUUCUGCUAUUGGGCACGAGGUCACGGGUUUGAUUUGCAGCAACAACAGUCGCACUCUGAUGGGAGUGCAGUGCUAAAACACUCAUGUACCAAGCAUUAAUUGUGUGCACAUUAACAGAUCGCCCCUCAUAGUAUGUAUUGUGUUGGUGUGGGCCACCAAACCCCAUUCAUCAAUCACUGACGGCGAUCAUAAGUAGUCAGGUGUCUUUGCUUUGAAUAGCUAGCAAAAAACAUACUGCCGAUAUUCAGUCAAUAUUAGUUGAGGUCACCAGGAAGCUUUUAAACCACUUUAUUUCUACUAUCUGACACCUCAAAUUAUAUACAAUAAAACACAAGCAUGAGUAUAAAGAAAAUUGCAUUCCAAUGUAACUGGAUAAGUCAAAAGUGAUUGUGAACUAAGCAGAAUAAAAGCCAUUAAUAUUUCUGA